rnacentral:rRNA from 1 species
GACGAACGCUGGCGGCGUGCCUAAUACAUGCAAGUCGAACGCAUUUUCUUUCACCGUAGCUUCCUACACCGAAAGAAAAUGAGUGGCGAACGGGUGAGUAACACGUGGGUAACCUGCCCAUCAGCGGGGGAUAACACUUGGAAACAGGUGCUAAUACCGCAUAAUUCCAUUUACCGCAUGGUAGAUGGGUGAAAGGCGCUUUUGCGUCACUUAUGGAUGGACCCGCGGUGCAUUAGCUAGUUGGUGGGGUAACGGCCUACCAAGGCUGCGAUGCAUAGCCGACCUGAGAGGGUGAUCGGCCACACUGGGACUGAGACACGGCCCAGACUCCUACGGGAGGCAGCAGUAGGGAAUCUUCGGCAAUAGACGCAAGUCUGACCGAGCAACGCCGCGUGAGUGAAGAAGGUUUUCGGAUCGUAAAACUCUGUUGUUAGAGAAGAACAAGGAUGAGAGUGGAAAGUUCAUCCCUUGACGGUAUCUAACCAGAAAGCCACGGCUAACUACGUG